rnacentral:rRNA from 1 species
AAAUGAACGCUGGCGGCGCGCCUAAUACAUGCAAGUCGAGCGAGAAGACGUAGCAAUACGUUUGUAAAGCGCGAACGGGUGAGAAUACAUGGGUAACCUACCCUCGAGUGGGGAAUAACUAGCCGAAAGGUUAGCUAAUACGCGUACGCUUCUUGGACUUCGGUUCAGGGAGGAAAGGCGAUGCCGAGGGUAUCGCGCUCUUGGAUGGGCUCAUGUCCUAUCAGCUUGUUGGGAGGUAACGGCUCACCAAGGCUUCGACGGGUAGCUGGUCUGAGAGGACGAUCAGCCACACUGGCACUGCGACACGGGCCAGACUCCUACGGGAGGCAGCAAGUAAGGAAUAUUGCGCAA